UCUCGUUGAUGAUUAUGUAACGAUGACGAGUCCGAUUAAUCCAUUCUUUAACAUCGUGACGACAAAUCGAGGCAUUUGUCUGAGAGGA